rnacentral:tRNA from 1 species
GGUUCCAUAGUGUAGCGGUUAGCACAUCUGCCUUACACGCAGAAGGUCCUGGGUUCAAGCCCCAGUGGAACCA